GAGACAGAGAGAGAGAGAGAGAGAAACCCAAGAGAUAUCCCCACACAAAGCCUUAAAGGACGCCGAGAAGGAAAAGUUUGGCGCGGCGAGGGGAAGGCUGUGCGGUGGAGAUGUACUCCUAGGGGAGCACAGGGGAGAAGGACCGGGGGCUUUUUGAUCUCCCCCCCACACACACUCUUUUUCGCUUUUUAGCCUUUGUUUGGUUUCCUCCCCGCGAGCGGCAAACCUAGUCGAGAAGAAGGCGGCGGAGGAAGGGACGAAAGG